UUUGGACUUGAUUGCAACCGAAUCGAACCAGUUAUUGUUGAUGUUGGGAUUCGGAAGGAUUUUGACCGGUUGAUAGGUAAGUUGUGCUUCUUUUUCUGUCGGAAAGUUCCGGCCGGAGUGGGCGAGUGGCCAAAUUAUAGUUUCUUAUGUUCCAGAUAUUCAGAAUUCAGUCUUCGUGGCGGUGGAGGAGGAGGACGAGACGCAUGAAUCCGGCAGACCAGAUCUUUGUGGCGGAAGACGGGACCGGAAGGAACCGAGCUUAUGGAGGAUAUGGUUCAUUCCAAAGGAGGAGGAGGAUGAAACACCGAGUGUCAAAAGUUCUACCCAAGGUAACCAAAAAUAUUCCAAUCUGAUCCUGCUAACAACCCAGCGUCUCCGUGUUGUCCCACGCAGUUUGUUGAACGGAAGCUGUAACGACCGCAAAAACACCUGCUCCGGAAGUGCGUAAACCGACGUUGUCCCGUACUCCGGUGGCCAUCAAUCCAUGGGACAUAAACUGUGGCGCCGCACCCCGCCGUAUCUGCGACUAGUCGAGGAG